GAGGAGCCGCGGAGGGCGCUGAGGCCGCUCCGUGACCCGGCGUUGGCGUGUCGGCCGGGCUGUGGCACUGAGUGGUGCCUCCGGUGUUUGCUUCAGCACCUCAGAGUGUAAAAGCAACUCCAGCCUGGGCAGCCUAUUCCAAUGUCCAAGAAAAAAAAAAAAAUGCUUCUUUAAGUUAAGGAAUUUUUCGUGGUGUCCAAGCCGAGCCUCUCCUGGCACAGCUUGAGGCCGUUUCCUCUUGUCCUGUGUUCCCUGGGAGCAGAGCCCGACCCCGGCUGGACAGUUUCAGAUUAGCGGUGGCUGCGGUGCUGUGCGCAGCUGAGAAGGGAGGUGCGAGCCACCCGUGUGUUCGGCCUGUUUGCAGACGGCAAGGGGGAGAUGAAGGCCUGGCUUUUCCCUCAUAAAACCGACCUACGGUGGCGAUGUGGGCUUGCGAAAGAAGGAGACGCUCCCGGCCUUGCUCUAAACCCUCCAAGUGCAGAGCCAAGCUGAAAACGUCACUGCUCUCCAAUCCGCUGUGUCAGGACAAAAAGAUCUCGCUCCUUUCAAGUACAAACUCUUAUUUGCAACACGAACUCCUCUGUGCUAAUAAAUCUUUUCUCUCUGGCAGAGUCCAGCUACAAACCUGAAACCAGUCGGCAAAAACGCCGCUCACAAAAGUGCCAGCUGAGAAAGCUCUUGCUGCUUACAAAUUCCAUUGCAUCCAAAGACCAACCAGUACACAGUACUGUGAGAAAUGCUACUCACUUCCAAAAGUUUAGAAAGGUUUAUUAGAACCUUAUCAAAAACACAGCAGAAGAUUGAAUAGAGAAAAUAUUACGAAGCCGGGAGCAAAGGAUCUUUCUCAUCAUGUGCUCACUCACACAACGGAGGUUUCACCUUUAGCCUCUCCCAAAGUUCUGUCCAUCGACUCCUUUGCUGUCCAGUGGUGGAGUUUACUUCCUUAAAUCUUCGUAGGAGGUCAGCUGUUGCCAUAGUAGCAAGCCGACCCUCCCAAAUGUCCCAAACCCAGGCCGUUCCCUGAUAACAGUGCAAGGGGAGGGGGGGGUAAAACAUAACUAUAAAUCUAUAAAACUGCUCUUAACAUAUAUGCGUGAUAUUUGCCUUUUAAUUGUGAGAGUCAAGCAUCGCGUUACUCAUCUAUCACACUGCUAUCUGCACUUUCCUUCUCAGCUCUAUGAAGCAUCAUAAGCCUUCAGUCUCACAGAGCCAGGAUCCAAAUGGAAUGGCUCCGGCGACUGCUCACACACUAAAGGUGCCAGGACAGAAAGCUCAUCAGCAGCUUGGCUUUUGCAUUCCCACCGGGACAGUUCAACAGCUCUCGCCGACAGAGCUGCCUGGUAGGAAAAGCCAUUAAAUUUCAACAAGACUACCCAAUCUGCGGAUCCAAAAUUGCUUUCUUUGCCAAAGAGAGGAACUAUAAACCUCAUGUCAAAAGAAAUUUGAUCCCUUCCUCCGGAACAAACACCCAGGAAAUGAGCCCCUACAAAGGUGCCAGAACACUGUUACUGGACAUUUACCUGCCCCGGGCGCUCUUACCAGCUGCUCACCAAUCCUGAGCAUAAUAGGACUUUGUCAGAAAUAAGUGCACUGCCAAAAUUUCUGAAGGACACCUCUGAGAAGUGGAAACCACGUGCCAAAUUGAGCAGUGUGAGGAGCGGUUCUUUGGGUGCAGCUGAAGUUGUAAGGCAGCACCAGCAUUCUCAGCUGACACUUACGUGAGCUUUCCUUUUGCCGGAUGGCUUCAAGUUUGUAGCCGAGCUCUGCGAGAGUGAAAAAAUGUAUUAGUGUAAAGGAGUUUGUGUUGCCGCUUGAGUGUGGGGCGAAUAAGAGUUUGUACUCGGGAGAGCAACGAGAUCCUUUUCUCCUGACUGCUGAUUUGAGCGCGGUGGCGAUUUCAACCUGGAUCUGCGCUUUGGCUACUUUAGAUAGGCGAGGUGCGUUUUGUUCUUUGGCAAGUCCACACCGCCAUCGUGUGGUUCAUUUUAUGCCAGUGCCCAGGAAAAAUCCGAGCGCUUUUCUGUCCCGGCACCAUUCGUGUGAGAGCAGGGUAGGGGUUCUGUUGUGGACGUUCUAUUCUAGACUGAAAGCACGUGAUCCUGCAUAGAAGUGAUACAAAACUUCGAUAGCCAAACCGAAAUUUAUUUCUAUAUCUUUUAUUUUAAAGCCAGCAAGCAAGCAGCGCUGGGUGGCCGGGGAGUCACCGUUCCACUAACGGCACACGCAACUUACAAGUUCGGCAAAGUAUGUCUACUGUUUUUAAGCCUACAAAGCAUUUUCCAAUGUGCUUGUGUUAGUCCGAAUCAGCAAAUAUCAAUAAGCUGGGAUCAGCAAUUUCAUAAUCUUUCCAGGUGGUUGUUGGCUUCCUGUCCUUCAUGUGGUCAUCUGGAGGGAGGCCUUACAGGUGUCGCCUACAUGAUUUUUGUCAAGUGUGUCAAGCUUUUUAUUAUACAUAAGCAUUUAGUCGCUCUGUUGCAAUAUCUCUUUAGUUGUACCACAACUUCCUCUAUUUUAUUCUAAGCAUCAGUUCUUUUGCUACCUCAUCUCUUUACUCUACUAUACUUCUUCUGUUUUGAUGCUUUAUUUGGCUAUUCAGUCAGAAAGUUUCAAUUGCUGAUUCCACUGCCAAUUGACACAAAUCACAAAAACAUUUUUCAGAAAAGGAAGGGACGAAUGAUUCUGCACGUGAAGGAAGAUGAAUUGUCUCACUGUUGGCUGUGCAGUUUAUAAGGCUGCAAAAGGAAAGUGAAUUCCAGCACUGCCUCUUUCUUCUAGAAUUUCUCUUGUGGGACCAGCUGCUGAACGUUCUUUGCUUUGUAACUGGACUCUGAUGGUGCAUGAGGGUUCCCAGAGCUGAGUGCACAUUCCUGGGUGUGCUGCACUUUAAAAGCUGCAGGGACAAAGUGAAGGCCAGCGCUUACUUUUUGUUCUAGGAGCUGUGGACUGAGAGCAAUAGAAGGAUAUGGCAAGUUCUGAAGCUGGGCUCUGCAAGAGUGAAGGAAUGUGAUGGUCCAUGGGCAUAAGUCCAGGGUGUGUGUUGCUUUUUACAAGAUGUGAGUUAGAUGUGAAGACAACAACAACAGCUUCUUGAGCGGGCACAUUUUGUGACCAAUAGUUCCACUUGAUACAGCUCAGGUUCAGGAAAUCUUCAUGAUCAAAAGAAAGAAUGAGGUAGUCCAUUUGGUUUGAAAGGAAAACGCCUAGCCACUAUUCGCAGGGUGUUGUUGAUAGCCUUCAAAAGGAAUGUGAAACAGAGCAACUGUUUUCUCCUCUUUUGAUUCCAGAUUAAAAUGACCCAGCUGGUCUAGUGAGAGAGCCAAAGUGUCAAGGUACAUGCAGCUGAAAAAAAAAGAAGCAUAAUAAGAAUGUGUGUUGUGGCAUUUAAAGCUGCUCAGGAAAAGGGAUGGCCAGCACUGUCUCUUUUGUUCCAGGAUCUUUUCUUUGAGGCAGCUGAUGAUCCUGAAGGUCUUUAGGCAUAUCUGAAAGGAUAGGAUUCCACAUGCAGCUUAGAAGAAAUUUAACCUUCCAACUGAAAGCCUAAUGAGACAAUGGCAAGCAUGAAGAUUCACAGGCUGCAAAAUAAUUCCACAAGAGCACAAGGACCAUCUCAGUACUUGCUGCCAACAGCAUUCCAAACCCCUGUCCUGGAUUCGUGUCUGAAAGAUCUGUCCCUUGAUUUGAAGGCGAUUUUCUGGAGUCACAGCACAUUAUUCCAUCAGCCAGCUUCUCAGCUUGGGGAUGAGAAAGCUGCAAUGCCAUUGCCCCUCAAUUGGGUGCAUUUCCAGCAUGCUGAUUCCACUGCAGCCUCAUCACCCACCCAGACCUUCUCUAAGGACCUCACCAUGGAGGAAAGGAGGGCAGAGAGAGAGCUCCUGGCAGUGCCAUGAGGUAAACAGCUUCAAGAACUUCAUAAAUACUGGGAAAAGACUUGCAAUAUCAUCUAGCAUUCUUACUUGCAGCUAUGUACAGAUCUGCAGUUCUCACACAAAAUAAAAGAUUUACACUACAGUUAGAACAGAGAUAACUGGCAUAGCAACAAAACUGGAAACCAAGGAUAACUGGAGUUAUGGCAUUUCUACAUUCCUGCCAUGUGCUGAAGAGUAUUUAUGUGAAAUUGAUGAUUUUUAGGAGCACAUCAUAUGGCACUCACUGUAUCUUUCUGGCUCUUAUAGUUGUAACAAAAAGUCAAAAGCUCUGAGUAUUAUGUGGAAUUAUUUCUGAGGUGUUGUUCCUUCAUUUGGGUUAUUUUGUAAUUUUACCUUCUCUUAGUGUUAAAUGGGGGAAGGGAAGAUGCUGAGGCUGUAGGGAUUGUCUCAUUUUUGGAUUUGGGUUUUGUUUAAGGCUUCAUAAGUCAGUGUGGCUAGACUAAUUUCUAGAAUUUGACAAUCUGGAUUUUUAUCUCAAGACACAUGUUUUAUAGUAGAAAGAUUAUUAAGACUUCAAAUAUGAGAAAUGUAAAAUAUGUGUAGAAAAUAAAAAUCUCAGUUUUUUUCUAAAGAAAUAAGUGGCAGCAAAAUGUUACAGGCCAUGCUACUGUGCAACGUGACUCCUCAAAAAUAAUUGCAAAAAAUGUCUAAGCACUCCCUGUGCUUUUAUUUUUAGUUCAGUUUCUUUUAUACAGAGCAGCAUGUCACAUCUCCUGUAAUCUGUUUUCCAAAAACUGAAAGCUUGGAAGUUUGCUUUACUCUAUUAAAUUUACCCAUUAAGAUAUAGAGACUUUGCACUCCGCAGAGACCUCUGUUCAGUUAUUGAGUGAAUUAUUUAUAACCCACUUAAAGGCAGUAUUGCUGUAAAAUAUUUAAAUGUAGUUUAGCCUCUGAAUCAAAGUCAAUAUAAACCAGACUGGUUUUGCCAAAGGGAAUUCCUUAUUACAUGGAUUCCUCUUCUACUCUAAAAUUUUUCUGUUAGGAUAAUUUUUUAGCAGAACAAUGUUUGUCUCAAUACAUGAGUAUUUUAUUUUGAAAAAAACCCACAGCUGUGUUAAUAAAAAUGCAAACACAAAUCUUGGAGUGCCAUCUAACUUACAUAAACUGCUUACAGUUUUCUGAUAUUUUAAUAAAAACUUCUGGCAUGGUA